rnacentral:rRNA from 1 species
GACGAACGCUGGCGGCGUGCCUAAUACAUGCAAGUCGAGCGAAGUUUUUCUGGUGCUUGCACCGGAAAAACUUAGCGGCGAACGGGUGAGUAACACGUAAAGAACCUGCCUCAUAGACUGGGACAACCAUUGGAAACGAUAGCUAAUACCGGAUAACAGCAUUAACUGCAUGGUUGAUGUUUAAAAGUUGGUUUUGCUAACACUAUGAGAUGGCUUUGCGGUGCAUUAGCUAGUUGGUGGGGUAAAGGCCUACCAAGGCGACGAUGCAUAGCCGACCUGAGAGGGUGAUCGGCCACACUGGGACUGAGACACGGCCCAGACUCCUGCGGGAGGCAGCAGUAGGGAAUCUUCCGCAAUGGGCGAAAGCCUGACGGAGCAACGCCGCGUGAGUGAAGAAGGAUUUCGGUUCGUAAAGCUCUGUUGUUAGGGAAGAAUGAUUGUGUAGUAACUAUACACAGUAGAGACGGUACCUAACCAGAAAGCCACGGCUAACUACGUG